UGUUUAGGUCCGGGACCUUUCUAAAACCGUGUAAAAUUAGGGCUAGCAGGUAUUUUCAUUGAAAAAAAAAAAAGCAGUCUUUUUUGUAAUUUUCACAAAGAGUAAAAAAUAUAUAAGAUCCACAACAGCACAGUGAUCAAUGAACAUCUUUAACAAUUACACUCUUCUGAAGUUUACAUAUUGUGGUCUCUCAGGGGCUGCAGUGAUUGGCAUGAAUAAAUCUUGCUCCACUUGUGUUAAUGCAUUGGAUAAAACAUUAGGAACACUUUUAAUAUAAUGCAAAGAUACAUUUUACCUUUUUAAAGGUUAUUAUUCAUGUCAGAGUUUCUGCAUUGGAUUGCAUGUGUGUUCCCAAUAAAACGCUCUGUUAGUCUGCUAAUACUGAAUCAACAGAGUUCUGUUAACAUUGAAACACUGAUCAUCUGCACACAAGCAGCUGUGACUCAUCAACGUGUGUGUUUGACAUGGAAAGUCAGCCCAGCUCUAGUCAGACACUGUUGAAUGCAAACAGUCAGCCACUGAUUUUAAAAUGACUGUUGCCAUUUCUGUUAGAGAUGUCCAGCUUCGGGAGGUGGAACAAAUAUCUGAUACGUCUUUUAAAGAGUCUACUUAAAAAAUAAACUAAUAAGUAAAAGUUUGGUCAACGGGACAAAGCAAAGAAAGGAAGAAAGGAACAACUCCAUCUCCCAUCGUCCCACGGUGUCACAACAACAAACGAGAGGCAGGGCAGGCAGCUGGGAGCGAAGGAGACAGGCAGACCGCGUAAAGAGAAGCCAAGUGAGAGAGUUUUCCUUCCACAUCCAUGGAGGUUUUCUCCCGCAGCAGAGGCGCGCAACAGACGGCAGAGGAAUCCGCGUAACAUGGCCAAAAAUCAGGAGGUGGAGCGCAUCGCCAAAAAGCUGGAUAAAAUGGUGCACAAGAAGAACACGGAUGGUGCUCUUGACUUACUGAGGGAACUGAAGAACAUGAAGAUGUCUCUGGAGACCCUGCAGUCAACCAGAGUUGGGAUGUCGGUGAAUGCGGUGAGGAAGCAGAGCUCAGAUGAAGAGGUUCAGACUCUGGCCAAAACUCUCAUCAAGGCCUGGAAGAAACUGCUGGAUGGUUCAGAGGGGAAGUCAGAGGAGAAGAAGAAGAACGAAGGAUCACCUGUGAGGUCAUCGUCCACCUCCAAGGACUCCGAGGGCAGCGACAAAAGCUGUAAGAAGUCUACGGAGACCCCAACCCCUCCAUCCACACCCACCACCCCCACCACUCCCACCCUCCCUCCCCGGGUCACCACCUUCCCCCCUGCCCCCGUCACCACAGACAACGUGCGGAACAAGUGUCGAGAGCUGCUGGUGGCCGCCCUGCAGACUGAUGACGACCAUAAGACCAUUGGAGUGGACUGUGACCACCUGGCGGCACAAAUUGAAGAACAGAUCUUCCAGGAGUUCAAGUCGACAGAUAUGAAAUACAAAACCCGCCUACGAAGUCGCAUCUCCAACCUGAAGGACCAGAAGAAUCCAGACCUGCGGCGUAACGUCCUGUGUGGAAACAUCUCGCCUCAGCGCAUUGCCUGUAUGACAGCCGAGGAGAUGGCAAGCGCCGAGCUGAAGCAGAUCAGAGAGGCCCUGACCAAAGAGUCCAUCAGAGAGCAUCAGCUGUCGAAGGUCGGAGGAACCGAGACGGACAUGUUCAUCUGCAACAAGUGUCAUGGAAAGAGCUGCACGUACACACAGAUUUAUGGGUUUUGUGUGUCGUAGGUGCAGACCCGCAGCGCUGACGAGCCCAUGACAACCUUUGUGUUGUGUAACAGCUGCGGCAAUCGAUGGAAGUUCUAUUGAAGAAGAGCCAUGUGUGCGUUGUUCCACUGAGAAGCAAACUGACUGAAAUAUUGAAUUUGGAUUUAAAAGAUUUGUUUUAUUUUUUUUUUUUUUAAUUUUGUAAACUUUAUAUAAAACGUUGUAAUAUAUUUGGAGGAAAAAUAUGCCAGUUCAUGUUGUUUAUUGGUUUCAUUUGUUUUGUAUGAAGCACUUUGAGUUUCUUAAGGUAGACGAAGCUUUAAGCCAGAUUUAAAUCACAGUUAGGCCUUGUGGGAACAGAGGAUGUGCCUUUCUUUGCCAUGUUGUGCUGCCACACAUUUUGCCUGUGACAUUUAUAUUAAAGUUGCUCUUGGAUUAAGAUCAAA